rnacentral:lncRNA from 1 species
CAAGAAAACAAAAGGACAGAGCCUCAUUUGGUGUAAACCAGCCUCCCCAUUUUAACUCCAUGGAAACUAUACAAAGGAUCUAAUCCCUGGUCUCGUGCUGAGCAUACCAAGGCUCUAGCCAGUGCUGACACCCUGUUCUCCUGUAAAUGAAAGCAGGUUGGGUCUUAACUCCAGAGAUAGGCUGAAGAGCCCCAACCUGUUCCCACACGGGAGGUGCCCAAGCCCUCUAAUUAUCUUGGUGGCUUUCAUCUGAUCCUGCUCUUUACUGGUGAAGUUGAAGUUUCAUGGUUUAAAAAUACACAAAACUAAGGCUUUGGGACACAAAAUUUCUGAUGUCUAAGCCUGUACAGAGACAGAAGUACUACCAAAGCAGAGGUUGCAAGCAAAAAAAGACAUCCUCAUUAAGGCAAUACAGCAUGCUGCUCUGAAAAUAAUCUUCAUCAUUCCUUGAGACUCCUACAUGAACCUCUUCUUCACGUUUUCCAGUGUCUUACAUCCCUGCUGGAGCUAAGUGACAAAGAAAGAAGGCUAAGAGGAGGAAGAAGCAGCAUUGGAAGACAGUGGUGAUUAGAACGAGCUUUUGUGAAGAAAAGAAAAUCUGAUGGAACUAGUUGAUAACAGGAAGAGAAGGAUAAGGAAGUGAAAUAUUUUCUGCCCAUGCAGCACUGAAUUAGGGCAGCAUCACUGUUGGUAUGAAUACACAAGCAUUUUGUUCAGCUUUAACUGCUGCUGCUCCCUAACCUUAUAAGACGAUGACAUCUCAUUGGUCCUUCUGUCAGUGGUGUGAGACUACUAACUCAGAUCAAAAGGAAAUAAUGCUGGAGACAGAAAGGGG